UUUAGUAAGUAAAAUACAAGCAAAGAGCCCUUUAGUUUGUAACCCCGAAACUAUGCGAGCUACUUCAAGACAGCCUAUAAGGACAAACCCGUCUCUGUGGCAAAAGAGUGGGGAGAGCUUUAAGUAGAGGUGACAAACCUAUCGAGCAUAGUAAUAGCUGGUUGCCUGAGAAAUGGAUAGAAGUUCAGCCCUUAUAAAUUUCUCCCCCCAAGCCCUACGCUUGUCAAGACUAAAGAAGACAUAAGGAGUUAGUCAGAAGGGGUACAGCUCUUCUGAUAAAAAAAACAACUUUAGCAAGUGAAACAGGAUCAUAUCAAUUAAGGAUUAAGAUUUAAGUGGGCCUAAAAGCAGCCAUCUUUAAAGAAAGCGUUAAAGCUCCAACUAGUUCCUUCCCCCCUUUUAUACUGAUAUUAAAUUUCCUCUCCCCUGCUACCUACCGGGCUAUCUUAUGCCCCCAUAAGAAUAAUUAUGCUAAA
rnacentral:rRNA from 1 species